rnacentral:rRNA from 1 species
CAGUCGAACGGCAGCGCGGGGCAACCUGGCGGCGAGUGGCGAACGGGUGAGUAAUAUAUCGGAACGUACCCUGGAGUGGGGGAUAACGUAGCGAAAGUUACGCUAAUACCGCAUACGAUCUAAGGAUGAAAGUGGGGGCUUCGCAAGAACCUCAUGCUCCUGGAGCGGCCGAUAUCUGAUUAGCUAGUUGGUGGGGUAAAGGCCUACCAAGGCAUCGAUCAGUAGCUGGUCUGAGAGGACGACCAGCCACACUGGAACUGAGACACGGUCCAGACUCCUACGGGAGGCAGCAGUGGGGAAUUUUGGACAAUGGGCGAAAGCCUGAUCCAGCAAUGCCGCGUGAGUGAAGAAGGCCUUCGGGUUGUAAAGCUCUUUUGUCAGGGAAGAAACGGUGAGGGCUAAUAUCCCUUGCUAAUGACGGUACCUGAAGAAUAAGCACCGGCUAACUACGUGCCAGCAGCCGCGGUAAUACGUAGGGUGCAAGCGUUAAUCGGAAUUACUGGGCGUAAAGCGUGCGCAGGCGGUUUUGUAAGUCUGUCGUGAAAUCCCCGGGCUCAACCUGGGAAUUGCGAUGGAGACUGCAAGGCUAGAAUCUGGCAGA